rnacentral:rRNA from 1 species
UACGGGGGGGCAAGCGGUUGUUCGGAAUUACUGGGCGUAAAGGGCCGCGUUAGGGUCGGCCAUCUAAGUCAGACGUGAAAUCCCUCGGAUCGUCACCGACGGAACUGCGUCUGAUACUGGAAGGCGUUGAAUCCGGGAGAGGGAUGUGGAAUUCCAGGUGUGAGCGGUGAAAUGCGUAGAUAUCUGGAGGAACACCGGUGGCGAAGGCGGCAUCCUGGACCGAG